CCCAGCAGUAGUCAGCUACCCAUCGCUGCUCAGUGCCUGUGAUAGUGUUAUGCUGCUGGGAGAGGAAAGCGCUGCCGAGACAUUCCUGGCACUGCCGGUGCUGUUCUGGCACUGGCUGGUGCCAGGUUUUGGCAGCGCUCUGCAUGCUUGAGAGUGGAGUAACUCCUCCUCGGUGGAGUUAAUCCUAGAUUGGAUGCAGACAAU
ensembl:snoRNA SNORA74 Small nucleolar RNA SNORA74